GGUGGGAUGGCUGAGUGGACAAAAGCGGCAGUCUUGAAAACUGCAGAGUCCGCAAGGGCUCCGGGGGUUCGAAUCCCUCUCCCACCG
rnacentral:tRNA from 4 species